GAUGAAGAACGUAGUAAAAUGCGAUAAGUAAUGUGAAUUGCAGAAUUCAGUGAAUCAUCGAAUCUUUGAACGCACAUUGCGCCCGCCAGUAUUCUGGCGGGCAUGCCUGUUCGAGCGUCAUUUCAACCCUCAAGCCCUCGGGUUUGGUGUUGGGGAUCGGCGAGCCUUUCUGGCAAGCCGGCCCCGAAAUCUAGUGGCGGUCUCGCUGCAGCCUCCAUUGCGUAGUAGUAAAACCCUCGCAACUGGAACGCGGCGCGGCCAAGCCGUUAAACCCCCAACUUCUGAAUGUUGACCUCGGAUCGGGUAGGAAUACCCGCUGAACUUAAGCAUAUCAAUAAGCGGAGGA
rnacentral:misc_RNA from 1 species